AAUUUUCAUGAUGAAAGGAGGUCAAGAUCAUGAUGCAAGGAGCCUUUCUUGGAAAGGAAAAGAGAAUGUGGGUGGCCGAAGUCCCAUUUUUCAUCAAGAAAUCG